GGGGCGGGGCGUGGAGGGGGCGGGGCAGUGAGAACGGGUCUGAAUGAGACAGUUUGAACCGGUCUGAUCCUGCUUCAUCUUGGGCAGACCAGCACCACCAACGGUCCUGAACAGGACAAACAAGUGAAGCCAACUUCAUAUGAGAAUGGCAGAUGUUAGUUGGUGCCAGAAUUGGCAAGUCAUUCCAAACCGCAAUCGGGCCAGAAGAAUGUGGUGCAUGUGGGCCAGUUGGUGUUCAAAGUUUAGGAGGUCUUGUGUGCUUUGUGCCACAUUCAGCUCUACAGUGGUCUCCUCAUCCCUUUGUCUCCCCUGGCUUCUGCGCAGAAGUAGUAGCAUCUCCCGUUGAUUUGCCUCUAGGGUCUCAACUUUUUGAAGGAGAACCUGAAGUGUAUCUGAAAUUAAGAAGCCACAUAACUUAAGCAGCACUUAGAUAUACAGUAUAUCCAGUGUGUAAUUUCUGGUGAUCCAUUUCAUUGUAGUGGUAUUUUCUUUGAAGCUGAAAGCCCCAAUGAGAAACGAGGUGCAUGGCUCCAUGAAGAGGGGUGCAGGAUGAUGGUACACUCGACAAAGGACCUUUCCAUCUUUCUCCAUCUCAUCUAUAACUUCGCAACAUUCCUCACCUUCAAGCAAGUAUGCUCUGUCCUUAAUGCUUCUUGUUUUUUUUGCUACAAGGUCAUGGAUUGGUGCUGACUUUCUUUCCUCAAUACGGUUGGCAAUCUGUGUGAGGGGGUGUGUUCCGCUACGUACCAUUCUCUUCAAGGUAUGCAGGUAUGUUUCAAAUUUGAAAGCACUGCAGUUGUCCAGCCCAUUGAAUAACACAGCAUCUUCCGUAAUAUGAAGCAAAGAGUGAGUGUUGUACACCAGAAAUUCUCUUCCAUAAAGCUCCCUCCCUCUGCUGACAAAGUACUGAAGGAGGUUUUGUGCGUACACUGCGUACUGUUUGAUAAGUGAGGGACAAACUAGGAUGCACAUUGCCACACUGAAUGUAAGGAAAUGGAGGUACAGGUCUCUCUUCAAUAUUCCUUUUAACACUAUCUUUCCUGUGUACAGCAUGAACUGCCUGAACUCUGUUGCUUUCCAUCUCUCAAGCUCAUUUAGGCCUCGAGGAGUGCGGGAAAAGAUGGAGGGGAUUUCACUUUUUAUGUGAGCAAGCCUACUGCUCACUUCUUCUAUUUGGACAGAAGACAUCCUGAAACCUUUCUCUCCCCUGCUCCACAUGUGCAGAAGUUUUUUCAUGACUCCUAGGCAGGCUUGAUGCAUGUAAUCAACAGGAAAACUUCUCACCAUAUCAAUGGGCAAACUGACCAGUGGUGUAUUUCCGUUGUGAUGCUGUGGCUGAAUUUGGUUCCUAAAAGAGGCAUCUGUGCGUAAGGUGAGGUCAUCUGUCUGCUGAUAUGUGACCCUUUUAAGCCACUCGCCUUUUUGGUCACAUUUAUCACAGCCAUAAUAACCAGAGCACAGCUUUGUGUUGCGAAUAAAGGCUUUCGCUGGAGCAUCACAGACAAUGCAAAGAACAUUGAUUUGCAACGCUCUUCCCUUGUAUUGAAGGCCGCCACUUAACAGUUCUUUGAGGUCUGUGACCAUGUCAUCCAGGAAAUCAAGAUUGUGUGGACGAUUUUUUCCACAUGUUAGUGUUGUGGGGAAAACAGUUAUGGGAUUGAGGUGGACAGCACACAGAACAGGCCACAUAAUUCUUGCUGAGCUCUUGAACAAUGGCAGUCCAUCAACAUUAAAAGACAGGUUGAUUGUGUCCGACAGAUGUUCAGGAGGGUACUUCUCCAGGGUCUCUGUCAACUUCUGAUGCAGUGUAUAAUGAAAUUAUUCCAUGCCAGAUUUCUGCUUUUUUGCUAGCUGCCUUGGUGUCUUAAGUAGACUACGUGCUGAAGAGGGGAGUUCUGUGUGGCCAUGUGUUUGAAGAACCUACAACAGCUUGUCAAGGGCGUUGUUCUUAACCUGGUACAUUGUGUCCUCCAUGUCAUCCUCCAGAUUUGCGUCUUCCCAUGUGGAUGAUCCUCCAGCAGGCUGAAGGGGUGGACUAUCUUCAGUGUCCUCCAUAUAACUAGAGGUUAGCUUUUGUCUGAUGCCUUCCCCUCUUCAGGAUUGCUGAGGCAAGCCUAUAGACCUUAGAAGCUACAACACCCUCUUUUUGGGACCAAGAUAUUAUGCUGCUUUGUCUGGAACAGGAAUCCAAAGGAAAACUGGCAUUAACCUUCAAAGGGAAUUUAACAGAUUUCUCUAAUGUUACAGACAUACCAUGAAAUGGUUGUGAGUGGGGUGAGAGAGUGGGAUGAGAGAGUGAGUGGAGCCCUCUUCUGUUUGCUGUUGUUUAUUAAUAAAGAAUAUU